UUAAGCGACUAAGCGUACACGGUGGAUGCCCUGGCAGUCAGAGGCGAUGAAGGACGUGCUAAUCUGCGAUAAGCGUCGGUAAGGUGAUAUGAACCGUUAUAACCGGCGAUUUCCGAAUGGGGAAACCCAGUGUGUUUCGACACACUAUCAUUAACUGAAUCCAUAGGUUAAUGAGGCGAACCGGGGGAACUGAAACAUCUAAGUACCCCGAGGAAAAGAAAUCAACCGAGAUUCCCCCAGUAGCGGCGAGCGAACGGGGAGCAGCCCAGAGCCUGAAUCAGUGUGUGUGUUAGUGGAAGCGUCUGGAAAGGCGCGCGAUACAGGGUGACAGCCCCGUACACAAAAAUGCACAUGCUGUGAGCUCGAUGAGUAGGGCGGGACACGUGGUAUCCUGUCUGAAUAUGGGGGGACCAUCCUCCAAGGCUAAAUACUCCUGACUGACCGAUAGUGAACCAGUACCGUGAGGGAAAGGCGAAAAGAACCCCGGCGAGGGGAGUGAAAAAGAACCUGAAACCGUGUACGUACAAGCAGUGGGAGCACGCUUAGGCGUGUGACUGCGUACCUUUUGUAUAAUGGGUCAGCGACUUAUAUUCUGUAGCAAGGUUAACCGAAUAGGGGAGCCGAAGGGAAACCGAGUCUUAACUGGGCGUUAAGUUGCAGGAUAUAGACCCGAAACCCGGUGAUCUAGCCAUGGGCAGGUUGAAGGUUGGGUAACACUAACUGGAGGACCGAACCGACUAAUGUUGAAAAAUUAGCGGAUGACUUGUGGCUGGGGGGGAAAGGCCAAUCAAACCGGGAGAUAGCUGGUUCUCCCCGAAAGCUAUUUAGGUAGCGCCUCGUGAAUUCAUCUCCGGGGGUAGAGCACUGUUUCGGCAAGGGGGUCAUCCCGACUUACCAACCCGAUGCAAACUGCGAAUACCGGAGAAUGUUAUCACGGGAGACACACGGCGGGUGCUAACGUCCGUCGUGAAGAGGGAAACAACCCAGACCGCCAGCUAAGGUCCCAAAGUCAUGGUUAAGUGGGAAACGAUGUGGGAAGGCCCAGACAGCCAGGAUGUUGGCUUAGAAGCAGCCAUCAUUUAAAGAAAGCGUAAUAGCUCACUGGUCGAGUCGGCCUGCGCGGAAGAUGUAACGGGGCUAAACCAUGCACCGAAGCUGCGGCAGCGACGCUUAUGCGUUGUUGGGUAGGGGAGCGUUCUGUAAGCCUGCGAAGGUGUGCUGUGAGGCAUGCUGGAGGUAUCAGAAGUGCGAAUGCUGACAUAAGUAACGAUAAAGCGGGUGAAAAGCCCGCUCGCCGGAAGACCAAGGGUUCCUGUCCAACGUUAAUCGGGGCAGGGUGAGUCGACCCCUAAGGCGAGGCCGAAAGGCGUAGUCGAUGGGAAACAGGUUAAUAUUCCUGUACUUGGUGUUACUGCGAAGGGGGGACGGAGAAGGCUAUGUUGGCCGGGCGACGGUUGUCCCGGUUUAAGCGUGUAGGCUGGUUUUCCAGGCAAAUCCGGAAAAUCAAGGCUGAGGCGUGAUGACGAGGCACUACGGUGCUGAAGCAACAAAUGCCCUGCUUCCAGGAAAAGCCUCUAAGCAUCAGGUAACAUCAAAUCGUACCCCAAACCGACACAGGUGGUCAGGUAGAGAAUACCAAGGCGCUUGAGAGAACUCGGGUGAAGGAACUAGGCAAAAUGGUGCCGUAACUUCGGGAGAAGGCACGCUGAUAUGUAGGUGAAGCGACUUGCUCGUGGAGCUGAAAUCAGUCGAAGAUACCAGCUGGCUGCAACUGUUUAUUAAAAACACAGCACUGUGCAAACACGAAAGUGGACGUAUACGGUGUGACGCCUGCCCGGUGCCGGAAGGUUAAUUGAUGGGGUUAGCGCAAGCGAAGCUCUUGAUCGAAGCCCCGGUAAACGGCGGCCGUAACUAUAACGGUCCUAAGGUAGCGAAAUUCCUUGUCGGGUAAGUUCCGACCUGCACGAAUGGCGUAAUGAUGGCCAGGCUGUCUCCACCCGAGACUCAGUGAAAUUGAACUCGCUGUGAAGAUGCAGUGUACCCGCGGCAAGACGGAAAGACCCCGUGAACCUUUACUAUAGCUUGACACUGAACAUUGAGCCUUGAUGUGUAGGAUAGGUGGGAGGCUUUGAAGUGUGGACGCCAGUCUGCAUGGAGCCGACCUUGAAAUACCACCCUUUAAUGUUUGAUGUUCUAACGUUGACCCGUAAUCCGGGUUGCGGACAGUGUCUGGUGGGUAGUUUGACUGGGGCGGUCUCCUCCUAAAGAGUAACGGAGGAGCACGAAGGUUGGCUAAUCCUGGUCGGACAUCAGGAGGUUAGUGCAAUGGCAUAAGCCAGCUUGACUGCGAGCGUGACGGCGCGAGCAGGUGCGAAAGCAGGUCAUAGUGAUCCGGUGGUUCUGAAUGGAAGGGCCAUCGCUCAACGGAUAAAAGGUACUCCGGGGAUAACAGGCUGAUACCGCCCAAGAGUUCAUAUCGACGGCGGUGUUUGGCACCUCGAUGUCGGCUCAUCACAUCCUGGGGCUGAAGUAGGUCCCAAGGGUAUGGCUGUUCGCCAUUUAAAGUGGUACGCGAGCUGGGUUUAGAACGUCGUGAGACAGUUCGGUCCCUAUCUGCCGUGGGCGCUGGAGAACUGAGGGGGGCUGCUCCUAGUACGAGAGGACCGGAGUGGACGCAUCACUGGUGUUCGGGUUGUCAUGCCAAUGGCACUGCCCGGUAGCUAAAUGCGGAAGAGAUAAGUGCUGAAAGCAUCUAAGCACGAAACUUGCCCCGAGAUGAGUUCUCCCUGACCCUUUAAGGGUCCUGAAGGAACGUUGAAGACGACGACGUUGAUAGGCCGGGUGUGUAAGCGCAGCGAUGCGUUGAGCUAACCGGUACUAAUGAACCGUGAGGCUUAACCUU
rnacentral:rRNA from 1 species